rnacentral:lncRNA from 1 species
UCUUGCUGAUCUGACUGCAACCCCUUCUGAUGAUUUGAUUCACUUCAAAGUCAAGGUAUCUUCAACGACAGUUUAGUCCCUUCUGCAUUCACUAUUGCUUGGCACACGGUUUUCUGUGGACAGCAAUGACCAAGAUAUCACCACCUUGCAGUGGCAUUUUCUCAAAUUGCUCAUCUGCAUGUUCUGUGUCAGUCAUGGCGUUUCUCCAUGUUGUUUGUGUGCACGAGGAUCAAACUUCUGUCUGCAACACACACGUAGUGAUGGCAUGCUAAAAGAAAUGUCUCUUACUCUAAAGCAGGCAUGGCAAUGAAUGAAUGGCUCACCCUUCUCCGGCCCUCCUGCCGAGACCAGUAGCCAUGGUGGUUGUUUCUCUUCUUCCAUGUUUGUCUGUGUCUGUCCAUGCCCGACACAAGUCCAAUCU